rnacentral:rRNA from 1 species
GUGAAAAAGAACCUGAAACCGUGUACGUACAAGCAGUGGGAGCACGCUUAGGCGUGUGACUGCGUACCUUUUGUAUAAUGGGUCAGCGACUUAUAUUCUGUAGCAAGGUUAACCGAAUAGGGGAGCCGAAGGGAAACCGAGUCUUAACUGGGCGUUAAGUUGCAGGGUAUAGACCCGAAACCCGGUGAUCUAGCCAUGGGCAGGUUGAAGGUUGGGUAACACUAACUGGAGGACCGAACCGACUAAUGUUGAAAAAUUAGCGGAUGACUUGUGGCUGGGGGUGAAAGGCCAAUCAAACCGGGAGAUAGCUGGUUCUCCCCGAAAGCUAUUUAGGUAGCGCCUCGUGAAUUCAUCUCCGGGGGUAGAGCACUGUUUCGGCAAGGGGGUCAUCCCGACUUACCAACCCGAUGCAAACUGCGAAUACCGGAGAAUGUUAUCACGGGAGACACACGGCGGGUGCUAACGUCCGUCGUGAAGAGGGAAACAACCCAGACCGCCAGCUAAGGUCCCAAAGUCAUGGUUAAGUGGGAAACGAUGUGGGAAGGCCCAGACAGCCAGGAUGUUGGCUUAGAAGCAGCCAUCAUUUAAAGAAAGCGUAAUAGCUCACUGGUCGAGUCGGCCUGCGCGGAAGAUGUAACGGGGCUAAACCAUGCACCGAAGCUGCGGCAGCGACGCUGAUGCGUUGUUGGGUA